rnacentral:rRNA from 1 species
GACGAACCGAGCAAACGUUAUUCGGAAUGAUUGGGCGUAAAGCGUCCGCAGGUGGCAGUUCAAGUCUGCUGUCGAAGACCGGGGCUUAACCUCGGAAAGGCAGUGGAAACUGAACAGCUAGAGUAUGGUAGGGGCAAAGGGAGUUCCUGGUGUAGCGGUGAAAUGCGUAGAGAUCAGGAAGAACAUCGGUGGCGAAGGCGCUUUGCUGGACCAUAACUGACACUCAGGGACGAAAGCUAGGGGAGCGAAUGG